rnacentral:lncRNA from 1 species
GAGACUGUAACACUAGAACAGUAUGGUCUCUUAUGAAUUACAGAAGCUGUGCAGCUUUUAAACUGUGUUGCACAUUUCACAUUACCACACCCACAAUAUUAGUACACAAUGGAACUUCCCUCAUGUGCAUUCUGGAUACCAACACAGAUCCAUUCACACUAUAAAACAAUAUUCAGGUACAGUUUUCUAAAACAGUAACAGAAAUACAAACUACAUCUGGACUGCCAACAUGGCUACUCUUGAUUCUCAUUGUAGUUACAGGUGGAUUUGCAGACAAAAUUGAACCAAGAGAAGGAGAUAGUAAUUUAAUCAAGGAAGAAGGAGAAUUUGUGACACUGAGCUGCACAUAUGAUGUGGGCAGCAAUAAUGUUUGGCUUUACUGGUACAGACAGUAUCCAAAUGGAGAACCUCGGUUUUUGCUGCUCAAAGGUGCUCGUUUAGAGACCUAUGAGAAUAUAGCAGACAAACGGUUUCGGUCGACUACAUCCCAAUCAUCCACUGAACUCAUUAUUGAGAAAGCAGCUCUGUCAGAUUCUGCUCUGUAUUAUUGUGCUCUUCGAGUGGCCCAGUGAUACAAAAUACCAGAGAAGCUUUACAAAAACACAGAUAAAAAAAUGUGCUUUGAACAGUGUGUAAUCAAACAGCAUCAGACCACAAGGUUUUUUUAUUUAUUUUUUUGGAAAACCACAGCUCUAAAAAUUAGUAUGUGGCAACACCUGUGAAUUUAGGAGAAUAUGAAAGGGUAUACAUAGGGGGCAUGUGAAACUAUCUCUUAUCAUUUUUGAUUUUUUUUUUUUUAAUGUUAAUUAAAAUACAGAAAUCAUUCAGUAUACAAAAUAGUAUACAACAACAAACAAAAAAAUAAAUAAAUAAAAAGAAGCAAAUAAAAAUAUAUCUAUUGUAAAGUAGUUCUCUGUCUGUUAUCCUCUACAGAUAAAGUAAACCUGCAUAGCUCUCAUAUAUAUAUAAUGGCAAGAGGAGGAGUUUAACACGGACAAUAGCACACAAAUAAAGUCACAAUCAGUCUCUGUGUGAAGCAGCUGCUCUUUGUUUAGCUUGCUCCUGGCAAUUUGUUGAGCGAACAUGUUAAUCUAUAUUAUCAUACUGAUGUCAUUAACAGAAGGUAUAAUAUUGUAAUAUUUUAAUAUAAUAUAUUACUAAAAUACUAUACAGUUUAUACUGUAAUGUAUAAUAU